CUACGGGUUGCUCCAGUGGGGAAUUUUGCGCAAUGGGGGAAACCCUGACGCAGCGAUACCGCGUGAGUGAAGAAGGCCUUUGGGUCGUAAAGCUCUUUUCUAAGGGAAGAUAGUGACGGUACCUUAGGAAUAAGCGCCGGCUAACUCCGUGCCAGCAGCCGCGGUAAUACGGAGGGCGCGAGCGUGUUCGGAUUUACUGGGCGUAAAGGGCGCGUAGGCGGCCUGGCAAGUUAAGGGUGAAAUCCCGGGGCUUAACCCCGGAACUGCUCUUAAAACUGCCAAGCUAGAGAUGGUCAGAGGCGGGUGGAAUUCCAGGUGUAGAGGUGAAAUUCGUAGAUAUCUGGAGGAACACCGGUGGCGAAGGCGGCCCGCUGGGGCCAUUCUGACGCUGAGGCGCGAAAGCGUGGGGAGCGAACGGGAUUAGAUACCCGAGUAGUC
rnacentral:rRNA from 1 species